GAUAAACGCUAGCGGCGUGCCUUAUGCAUGCAAGUCGAGCGGUAUAUCGAAAGAUAUACAGCGGCAAACGGCUGAGUAACGCGUAAGUAAUCUGUCCCUAAGUGGGGAAUAAUCCGCCGAAAGGUGGACUAAUUCCGCAUGUGGUAGUGGAGGUAGGUUUCCAUUACUAAAGCUUUCGAGCGCUUGGGGAGGGGCUUGCGCCCUAUCAGGUAGUUGGUGUGGUAACGGCUCACCAAGCCUAUGACGGGUAGCUGGUUUGAGAGGAUGUCCAGCCAGACGGGGACUGAGACACGGCCCAGACUCCUACGGAGGCAG
rnacentral:rRNA from 1 species